AGAUAAAACGUUCAAUAGGGGGGAAUCCCUAACUAUUAACUCACUAUUUUCGACUAUAUCGGCGCCUUUUGUCUCCCAAAAACCAGGAGCAUGCUCUUAUUAAAGCCUUAGGUUAAUGUUUUUGCUAUUUUUUUGCCGCAUGAAUAAAGAGUUA
rnacentral:sRNA from 1 species